AGGAAAAGAAACCAACCGGGAUUGCCUCAGUAACGGCGAGUGAAGCGGCAAGAGCUCAAAUUUGAAAGCUGGCUCCUUCGGAGUCCGCAUUGUAAUUUGCAGAGGAUGCUUUGGGUGCGGCCCCCGUCUAAGUGCCCUGGAACGGGCCGUCAGAGAGGGUGAGAAUCCCGUCUUGGGCGGGGUGUCCGUGCCCGUGUAAAGCUCCUUCGACGAGUCGAGUUGUUUGGGAAUGCAGCUCUAAAUGGGUGGUAAAUUUCAUCUAAAGCUAAAUACUGGCCGGAGACCGAUAGCGCACAAGUAGAGUGAUCGAAAGAUGAAAAGCACUUUGAAAAGAGAGUUAAACAGCACGUGAAAUUGUUGAAAGGGAAGCGCUUGCGACCAGACUCGCCCGCGGGGUUCAGCCGGCAUUCGUGCCGGUGUACUUCCCCGUGGGCGGGCCAGCGUCGGUUUGGGCGGCCGGUCAAAGGCCCCUGGAAUGUAGUGCCCUCCGGGGCACCUUAUAGCCAGGGGUGCAAUGCGGCCAGCCUGGACCGAGGAACGCGCUUCGGCACGGACGCUGGCAUAAUGGUCGUAAACGACCCGUCU
rnacentral:rRNA from 1 species